AUUGAACGCUGGCGGCAGGCCUAACACAUGCAAGUCGAGCGAGCGGCGGACGGGUGAGUAUUGUAUGGGGACUGCCCGCUAGAGGGGGGUAACUCUUCGCAACGGUGGCUAAUAUCGCGUACUAUCGGAUUAACCAUAUGGGAUAAGCUAGUAGGGGUGGUAAAGGCUCACCUAGGCGACGAUCCCUAGCUGGGCUGGGAGGAUGAUCAGCGACACUGGGACUGAGACACGGCCCAGACUCCUACGGAGGCAGCAGUGGGGAAUAUUGCACAAUGGGCGCAAGCCUGAGGCAGCCAUGCCGCGUGUAUGAAGAAGGCCCUAGGGUUGUAAAGUACUUUCAGUCGGGAGGCGUUACCGACAGAAGAAGCACCGGCUAACUCCGUGCCAGCAGCCGCGGUAAUAC
rnacentral:rRNA from 1 species